GACGAACGCUGGCGGCGUGCUUAACACAUGCAAGUCGAACGGAAAGGCCCUGCUUUGGUGGGGUGCUCGAGUGGCGAACGGGUGAGUAACACGUGAGUGACCUGCCCUGGACUUUGGGAUAACUUCAGGAAACUGUGGCUAAUACCUGAUAGGAGCUCCUGCUGCAUGGUGGGGGUUGGAAAGUUUCGGCGGUUGGGGAUGGACUCGCGGCUUAUCAGCUUGUUGGUGGGGUAGUGGCUUACCAAGGCUUUGACGGGUAGCCGGCCUGAGAGGGUGACCGGCCACAUUGGGACUGAGAUACGGCCCAGACUCCUACGGGAGGCAGCAGUGGGGAAUAUUGCACAAUGGGCGGAAGCCUGAUGCAGAAACGCCGCGUGCGGGAUGACGGCCUUCGGGUUGUAAACCGCUUUCGCCUGUGACGAAGCGUGAGUGACGGUAAUGGGUAAAGAAGCACCGGCUAACUACGUG
rnacentral:rRNA from 1 species